UUCGUCAUAGCAAAGUGAUUACCGCACCAGAGUCAAAAUCUGUUCCUCUUGGAUCCGACUACGUAGGUUCGAAACCUGCCGACGAAA